rnacentral:lncRNA from 1 species
ACCACACGCCAGGUGCUGUGCCAGCAGCAAGGUCCCUGUCUGAAUGGGGCUUGUAGGGGGAGACUGGCAAUCCAAAAGUAACACACAAAUAAAUAAAACAAGUGCAGAUCGAUGGAGGUGCUCAGAAGGGAACAAACCAGAGGCUGUGACGGAGGAUAAUGGGGAAGACCCUUGUUUGUCACGAUAGGGUGGCCAGGGAAGCUUCUCCUGGGAGAUGCCACUGAACCUAAGGCCUGGAGGAUGAGACGGAGCUGGAGUGUGAAGAGCACAAUCCUCGGUCCUUUGGGGCAGCACUGACCGUCCCCGUGGACCUCCCAUCUGACACUGGGCUCCUUGGUCCAGCCUCAGAUUACAGGAAAUGGAGGGGCAUGGAGGGACAGGACAUCCUCAAGGUAGAAAGAAGACAAAUCCAGAAUGUCUUCAGCGAGGCUUGUGGACGACUGUGACCUUGAGAAUUUGUCCUGGGGAAAGAAGAGAAGACCUUAUCACUGACUCCUUCCUCUGUGGUGGUAUUUUGCCCCAUGGGCCAUCAGCCUUCUGCUCUUACAGGCAGCACUGCCUGGCUUCUCCAGUUGGGGAAGCUGUGUGUCAAGAUGGCGGCAGCAGCGAUUGCAACAUGAGCCUGAAGUCUGCAAACUCAUGGGCCCCGGUGGGCGAGCCACUGCAGGUGCGAGAACACCUCCAGGUGCACCCAGGAGGAACAGAGGAGCUCUGGGGCAGGAGGGGAGAGGAUGCUGCAGGAGGAGAGAGGUGAGGCACGAUCGGCUUGUCCUCGUGGGUGAUCUGGAGAACUGGGUUUGGCCACAGCAGGGGCCAGGUGGGCAAGCAGGAGGCGCACCUUGGCAACAUGGCCUUGCCAUGAAACUGGCAAGGAAGAUGGACAGCUCCCCUCUGUGGCCCUCAGGCGUGCGGUUGGUGCUGGGAAAUCUUCCUGGAGGGUCAGCAGCAACAUUGAGCAGGAAAUCAUGGACAGACAGAUCCAGGGAUUCUCGAGGAUGAAACCAGCAGAGCUCGCUAUGCACACGGUGCUGCCGCAGGUGCUGUGCGCUGGAGGAAUCAGACACGGCUCCCCUCCCUAUAGGCAAGUUACUCACAGUCCAGUGGGAGAGACAGACGGACAGAUAGACAGAAAAUUACUAUAUAUCAUUUUGAAUGCUAUGACAGAGGUAACCAAAUAGCAUCUUGGGAGCCCAGCGGAGGGUCCUUAUCCUGGGCUAGGGGCAAUAAUGAGGGCCUGCUCUAAAGCAAAAGAGAAAAAGAAACUUCUCAGUGGCUUUGGCAGACAAGUGUAUACCAUGGAGAUAAAAAUAUCUACAGAGCUCUCCAGUAAAAACAAAGACAAUGAUAAUGGUAUAAAAUGAUGAUAAUAAUUAUUAUCUAAUGAUAACAUCAAGACAACAAGAUAGAAAAUGCACAAUCUACACUAAACAAAGACUUCCAUCAUCCCCC